rnacentral:rRNA from 1 species
CCUACGGGAGGCAGCAGUGGGGAAUUUUGGACAAUGGGCGAAAGCCUGAUCCAGCAAUGCCGCGUGCAGGAUGAAGGCCCUCGGGUUGUAAACUGCUUUUGUACGGAACGAAAAGCCUGGGGCUAAUAUCCCCGGGUCAUGACGGUACCGUAAGAAUAAGCACCGGCUAACUACGUGCCAGCAGCCGCGGUAAUACGUAGGGUGCAAGCGUUAAUCGGAAUUACUGGGCGUAAAGCGUGCGCAGGCGGUUUUGUAAGACAGUGGUGAAAUCCCCGGGCUCAACCUGGGAACUGCCAUUGUGACUGCAAGGCUAGAGUGCGGCAGAGGGGGAUGGAAUUCCGCGUGUAGCAGUGAAAUGCGUAGAUAUGCGGAGGAACACCGAUGGCGAAGGCAAUCCCCUGGGCCUGCACUGACGCUCAUGCACGAAAGCGUGGGGAGCAAACAGGAUUAGAUACCCUGGUAGUCCACGCCCUAAACGAUGUCAACUGGUUGCUGGGUCUUAACUGACUCAGUAACGAAGCUAACGCGUGAAGUUGACCGCCUGGGGAGUACGGCCGCAAGGUUGAAACUCAAAUGAAUUGACGGGG